rnacentral:sRNA from 1 species
AAGUAGAAAAGAAACAAGGCUGGAUCACUGUUGGGGACUUGGAAGGCUGUAUACAUUAUAAAGUUGUUAAAUAUGAAAGGAUCAAAUUUUUGGUGAUUGCCUUAAAGAAUGCUGUGGAAAUAUAUGCUUGGGCUCCUAAACCAUAUCAUAAAUUCAUGGCAUUUAAGAUCUCCAGCACAAGCCUCUGCUAGUUGAUCUCACAGUAGAAGAAGGUCAAAGAUUAAAGGUUAUUUUUGGUUCACACACUGGUUUCCAUGUAAUUGAUGUUGAUUCAGGAAACUCUUAUGAUAUCUACAUACCAUCUCAUAUUCAGGGCAAUAUCACUCCUCAUGCUAUUGUCAUCUUGCCUAAAACAGAUGGAAUGGAAAUGCUUGUUUGCUAUGAGGAUGAGGGGGUGUAUGUAAACACCUAUGGCCGGAUAACUAAGGAUGUGGUGCUCCAAUGGGGAGAAAUGCCCACGUCUGUGGGUAGGUUAACCCUUCCUUAUCUCCUUCAGCAGUUACACCCCCCAAAUGAAACGAAAAUCAAGAAAUGUGAAACAACCAUUUGAUUCCACCAAAAAAAAAAAAAA